rnacentral:rRNA from 1 species
AAUACAGGGGGAGCAAGCGUUAUCCGGAAUGAUUGGGCGUAAAGCGUCUGUAGGUGGUUCUUUAAGUCUACUGUCAAAUACGUUGGCUCAACCAACGGCAGGCAGUGGAGUACUAAAGAACUAGAGUGCGGUAGAGGUAGAGGGAAUCCCUAGCGUAACAGUGAAAUGUGUAGAUUUUAGGGAGAACACCAGCGGCGAAGGCGCUCUACUGGGCCGAUACUGACACUGAGAGACGAAAGCUAGAGGAGCGAAUAGGAUUAGAUACCCUAGUAGUUCUAGCUGUAAACGAUGGAAACUAAGAGGGGGUAACCCCCUUCUGUAGCUAACGCGUUAAGUUUCCCGCCUGGGGAGUAUGCUCGCAAGAGUGAAACUCAAAGGAAUUGACGGGAGACCACACAAUAGGUGGAUUAUGCGGUUUAAUUUGAUGCAACGCAAAGAACCUUACCAGGGUUUGACAUGUCUAGAAUUUUUCAGAAAUGGAAAAGUGCUUCCUUUUUAUGAAAGGAAGAACUAGAACACAGGUGGUGCAUGGCUGUCGUCAGCUCGUGCGUUGACGUGUAUGGUUAAGUCCUGCAACGAGCGCAACCCUCGUCUUUAGUUACUUUCCAAGUUCUCUAAAGAGACUGCGCGCGCAAGCGCUGAGGAAGGUGAGGAUGACGUCAAGUCAGCAUGCCCCUUACACCCUGGGCGACACGCGUAAUACAAUGGUUGGGACAAUCAGAAGCUACCCCGCAAGGGCACGCCAAUCUGCUAAACUCAACCCUAGUUCGGAUUGUAGGCUGCAACUCGCCUACAUGAAGCCGGAAUCUAUAGUAAUCGCCAGUCAGCUAUAUGGCGGUGAAUACGUUCCUGGUCUCUGUACACACCGCCCGUCACAUCAAGAAAGGUGGUAGUGGAUUAAGCUACUAGUCUAACCUCUCUGAGGAAGACGGUAUCCACUCCAAGACUACUGAUCAUGAUGAAGUCGUAACAAGGUAGGGGUACUGGAAGGUGUCCCUGGAUCACCUCCUU